rnacentral:rRNA from 1 species
GAUGAACGCUAGCGGCAGGCCUAAUACAUGCAAGUCGAACGGUGUAGCAAUACACAGUGGCGCACGGGUGCGUAACACGUAUGCAACCUACCUUACAUUGGGGGAUAGCCUUUCGAAAGGGAGAUUAAUACCGCAUAAGACAGUAACUAGGCAUCUAGUAGCUGUUAAAGAUUUAUCGAUGUAAGCUGGGCAUGCGUCCAAUUAGUUAGAUGGCGAGGUAAUGGCUCACCAAGACGAUGAUUGGUAGGGGAACUGAGAGGUCAAUCCCCCACACUGGGACUGAGCUACGAGCCAGACUCCUACGGGAGGCAGCAGUAGGGAAUAUUGGGCAAUGGGCGCAAGCCUGACCCAGCCAUGCCGCGUGCAGGAAGAAGGCGUUAUGUGUUGUAAACUGCUUUUAUACAGGAAGAAACGACCCUUGCGAGGGGCAUUGACGGUACUGUAUGAAUAAGCACCGGCUAACUCCGUGCCAGCCGCCGCGGUAACAC